UACGGAGGAUCCAAGCGUUAUCCGGAAUCAUUGGGUUUAAAGGGUCCGUAGGCGGGAUAAUAAGUCAGUGGUGAAAGUCUGCCGCUUAACUGUAGAACUGCCAUUGAUACCGUUUUCCUUGAGUUAUUAUGAAGUGGUUAGAAUAUGUAGUGUAGCGGUGAAAUGCAUAGAUAUUACAUAGAAUACCGAUUGCGAAGGCAGAUCGCUAAUAAUACACUGACGCUGAUGGACGAAAGCGUAGGUAGCGAACAGG
rnacentral:misc_RNA from 1 species